GACGAACGCUGGCGGCGUGCCUAAUACAUGCAAGUCGAGCGGACGGAUGGGAGCUUGCUCCCAGACCGUCAGCGGCGGACGGGUGAGUAACACGUGGGCAACCUGCCUGUAAGACUGGGAUAACUCCGGGAAACCGGGGCUAAUACCGGAUAACUCUUUCCCUCACAUGAGGGAAAGCUGAAAGAUGGCAUCUCGCUAUCACUUACAGAUGGGCCCGCGGCGCAUUAGCUAGUUGGUGAGGUAACGGCUCACCAAGGCGACGAUGCGUAGCCGACCUGAGAGGGUGAUCGGCCACACUGGGACUGAGACACGGCCCAGGCUCCUACGGGAGGCAGCAGUAGGGAAUCUUCCGCAAUGGACGGAAGUCUGACGGAGCAGCGCCGCGUGAGUGAUGAAGGUUUUCGGAUCGUAAAACUCUGUUGUCAGGGAAGAACAAGUACCGGAGUAACUGCCGGUACCUUGACGGUACCUGACCAGAAAGCCACGGCUAACUACGUG
rnacentral:rRNA from 1 species